GACGAACGCUGGCGGCGUGCUUAACACAUGCAAGUCGAACGGAAAGGCCCUGCUCUUGUGGGGUGCUCGUGUGGCGAACGGGUGAGUAACACGUGUGUAACCUGCCCUUGACUUUGGGAUAACUUCAGGAAACUGGGGCUAAUACCGGAUAGGAGCUCCUGCUGCAUGGUGGGGGUUGGAAAGAUUCGGCGGUUGGGGAUGGACUGGCGGCUUAUGAGCUUGUUAGUGGGGUAGUGGCUUACCAAGUCUUUGACGGGUAGCCGGCCUGAGAGCUUGACCGGCCUCAUUGGGACUGAGGUACGGCCCAGACUCCUACGUGACGCAGCAGUGGGGAGUAUUACACAAUGGGCGGAAGCCUGAUGCGGCAGCGCCGCGUGCGGGAUGACGGCCUUCGGGGUAUAAACCGCUUUCUCCUGUGACGAAGCGUGAGUGACGGUAAUGGGUAAAGAAGCACCGGCUAACUACGUG
rnacentral:rRNA from 1 species